rnacentral:tRNA from 1 species
GGUGGCUCAGUGGUAGAGCACUUGCCUUGCAAGCUUAAGGCCCUGGGUUCGAUUCCUCAGCACCA